GGUUUGAUCCUGGCUCAGAUUGAACGCUGGCGGGAUGCUUUACACAUGCAAGUCGAACGGCAGCACGGACUUCCGGUCUGGUGGCGAGUGGCGAACGAAUUGAUAAUGUAUCGGAACGUGCCUAGUAGCGAGGAUAACUACGCGAAAGCGUAGCUAUUACCGCGUACGCCCUUCGAGGAAAGCGGGGGACCUUCGGGCCUCGCACUAUUGAAACGGCCGAUAUCGGAUUAGCUAGUUGGUGGGAGUAACGGCUCACCCAAGGCGACAGUCGCUGGCUGGUUUGAGAGGACGACCAGCCACUGGGACUGAGACACGGCGGGCUCCUACGGGAGGGCAGCAGUGGGAAUUUUUGGACAAUGGAAACCUGAUCCAGCCAUCCCGCGUGUGCGAUGAAGGCCUUCGGGUUUGUAAAGCACUUUGGCAGGAAAGAAACGGCACGGGAUAAUACCCCGUGCAACUGACGGUACCUGCAGAAUAAGCGCCGGCUAACUACGUGCCAGCAGCCGCGGUAAUACGUAAGGGUGCAAGCGUUAAUCGGAAUUACUGGCUAAAGCGUGCGCAGGCGGUUGGAAAGAAAGAUGCUGAAAUCCCGAACGCUUUGGAACUGCAUUUUUAACUGCCGAGCUAGAGUGUGUCAGAGGAGGUGGAAUUCCACGCCAUGUUAACGGUAAAUGCGUAGAUAUGCGGAGGAACACCGAUAGCGAAGCCAGCCUCCUGGGAUAACACUGACGCUCAUGCACGAAAGCGUGGAGGAGCAAACAGGAUUAGAUACCCUGGUAGUCAGUCCCACGCCCUAAACGAUGUCAACUAGCUGUUGGGGCCUUCGGGCCUUGGUAGCGCAGCUAACGCGUGAAGUUGACCGCCUGGGGAAUUACCCAGGUCGCAAGAUUAAAACUCAAAGGAAUUGACGGGGACCCACACAAGCGGUGGAUGAUGUGGAUUAAUUCGAUGCAACACGAAAAACCUUACCUACCCCUUGACAUGUCUGGAAUCCCGAAGAGAUUUGGGAGUGCUCGCAGAACCGGAACACAGGUGCUGCAUGGCUGUCGUCAGCUCGUGUCGUGAGAUGUUGGGUUAAGUCCGCAACAGGCGCAACCCUUGUCAUUAGUUGCUACGAAAGGGCACUCUAAUGGGACUGCCGGUGACAAACCGGAGGAAGGUGGGGAUGACGUCAAAUCUCAUGGCCCUUAUGGGUAGGGCUUCACACGUCAUACAAUGGUGCAGGGACAGAGGGUCGCCAACCCGCGAAGGGGAGCCAAUCCCAGAAACCCGAUCGUAGUCCGGAUCGCAGUCUGCAACUCGACUGCGUGAAGUCAGGAUGUAGUAAUCGCGGAUCAGCAUGUCGCGGUGAAUACGUUCCCGGGUCUUGUACACACCGCCCGUCACACCAUGAGAGUGGGUUUUACCAAAGUAGUUAGCCUAACCGUAAGGAGGCGAUUACGGUAGGAUUCAUGACUGGGGUGAAGUCGUAACAAGGUAA
rnacentral:rRNA from 1 species